CGCGUAGGCGACUUAGUGAGUCAGGCGUGAAAUUCCUGGGCUUAACCUGGGGACUGCGCUUGAUACUGCUGGGCUUGAGGCCGAGAGAGGGUGGUGGAAUUCCCAGUGUAGAGGUGAAAUUCGUAGAUAUUGGGAAGAACACCGGUGGCGAAGGCGACCACCUGGCUCGGUACUGACGCUGAGGCGCGACAGCGUGGGAGCAAACA
rnacentral:rRNA from 1 species